CCUACGGGACGCAGCAGUAGGGAAUCUUCCACAAUGGACGAAAGUCUGAUGGAGCAACGCCGCGUGAGUGAAGAAGGGUUUCGGCUCGUAAAGCUCUGUUGGUAGUGAAGAAAGAUAGAGGUAGUAACUGGCCUUUAUUCGACGGUAAUUACUUAGAAAGUCACGGCUAACUACGUGCCAGCAGCCGCGGUAAUACGUAGGUGGCAAGCGUUGUCCGGAUUUAUUGGGCGUAAAGCGAGUGCAGGCGGGUCCAAAAAGCUUAUGUGAAAGCCUUCCGGUCAAACGGAGAAAUGGAUCAGAAACAG
rnacentral:rRNA from 1 species